GCUGCCAACGUAAAAAUAGGCCCCUCUGGCAGGCCCUGUCGGGGCUUUUGUUCUUAUCCUGGGACUUCAAGGGGCACAGAUCCAACAUGAGCUACGGGAAAUUAAUAAAAAAAAAAAUUUACAAGAAUGGGUGAGAGGGAGAAGCAAGGAAGGAGCACAGGGGGAUUUGCCAGAGGAGUUUAUUUUUCAGCUCCGUGAUAUAGCACUUCAGCUGAUUUGACAUUAAUUCUUAGAGACAGACUCUUGUGGGAUGGCAGCAAGCAGGCAUUCCUGGGAAACUGCUCAGGAAUUAAGUGUUUCCCUUUUCAGCUCUGCCGCUUCCUCUGCGGAGCUAUUGCCCCUGUUCUGCAGGUAGGACAAGGGAGGAAUCAUAGACUCUCAGACUGGUUUGGGUUGGAAGGGACAGUUAAAAGCCCCCCAGUUCCCCCCCUGCCCCGGGCAGGGACACCUCCCACCACACCACGUUGCUCCAAGCCCCCUCCAACCUGCCCUUGAACCCCUCCAGGGAUGGGGCAGCCACAGCUUCUCUGGGCAACCUGGGCCAGGCUCUCACCACCCUCACACCAAACAAGUUCUUCCCCACAGCUCAGCUCCAUCUCCCCUCUUUCAGGGUCAAACCCUUCCCCCUCAUCCUGUGACUCCUGGACUCCCUGAUCCAGAGUCCCCUCCCCAGCUUUCCUGGAGCCCCUUGAGGGACUAGGAAGGGUCUAGAAGGUCUCCCCGGAGCCUUCUCUUCUCCAGAUUGAGCCCCUCAACUCUCUCAACCUGUCCUCACGGCAGAGGGGUGGCUCACAGCCCUGGGGGAGCACCUCCGUGGCCUCCUCCGGCCCCGCUCCAACAGCUCCGUGUCCUUCUGAUGUCGGUAGCCGCAGAGCGGAGGGGCGGAAUCCCUUCUCACAACGCCGGGGAAGGCCCAGCGCCGGGGGCCGCCAUUACGCCGCUUCCCUCACCGCCCACUUCCGGCCCGGAAGUCCGUGUCCCCCCCAAGAUGGCGGCGCUCAACACGGAAGUGCGAAGAGGCGGCGGCCGCCGGGCGGGAGCUUGAGCCCCCUCCCUUCCCUCACCGGGAGGCAGGACAUGGUGCAGGGUGAAGAGCACAGAUAAGGACCCUGCCGCCGCUCCACCGCCCGCCCCCAGGACUUCAUGCGGCAGGACGCGGGCUGAUGCCCUCCGCACGCCCUGCCAUGGACGGGGGGCAGCACUUCCCGCAGCAGGAGCACCAACAGCCGGGCAACGCGCUCUGCAGCCUCCCCGGCCUCCGCUCCCCGCUCCCUGCCCCAGCCAUGGAGGUGAGCGCCUCAGCAGCUUCUCUGGAGGGAACAGGCUCUUCUGAGGGUGCCACCAGAGGGGUCUGACAAUACCUCUUUAAAGCUUGUAGGUGUCAGGCUGCUCCGGAGAGGACUAAAGGGUUAACGCA
rnacentral:lncRNA from 1 species